UACGAAGGGGGCUAGCGUUGUUCGGAAUCACUGGGCGUAAAGGGCGCGUAGGCGGCUAGAUAAGUCGGGGGUGAAAGCCUGUGGCUCAACCACAGAAUUGCCUUCGAUACUGUCUGGCUUGAGACCGGAAGAGGUUAGUGGAACUGCGAGUGUAGAGGUGAAAUUCGUAGAUAUUCGGAAGAACACCAGUGGCGAAGGCGGCUGUCUGGUCCGGUACUGACGCUGAGACGCGAAAGCGUGGGGAGCGAACAGG
rnacentral:rRNA from 1 species